GCAAGGGAUAUUGCGCAAUGGGCGAAAGCCUGACGCAGCGACGCCGCGUGGGUGAAGAAGGCCUUCGGGUCGUAAAGCCCUUUUGCUAGGGAAGAUAAUGACGGUACCUAGCGAAGAAGCCCCGGCUAACUACGUGCCAGCAGCCGCGGUAAUACGUAGGGGGCGAGCGUUGUCCGGAAUUACUGGGCGUAAAGAGCACGUAGGCGGUUUGUUAAGUCGGUUGUGAAAUCUCCCGGCCCAACUGGGAGGGGUCAGCCGAUACUGGCGGACUUGAGGGAGGCAGAGGGAAGCGGAAUUCCCGGAGUAGUGGUGAAAUGCGUAGAUACCGGGAGGAACACCAGUGGCGAAGGCGGCUUUCUGGGCUUUUCCUGACGCUGAGGUGCGAAGGCGUGGGGAGCGAACCGGAUUAGAAACCCGUGUAGUCC
rnacentral:rRNA from 1 species